AUGUGUAUACCAAAGAAAGAAGGAGGCAUGGGAUUUCGUGAUCUACACUGUUUUAACCAAGCUAUGCUUGCUAAGCAGUGUUGGUGACUUUUGUCUUAACCUGAAUCAUUAUGUGCUCAGGUGCUACGAGCUAAGUACUAUCCGGAUGGGGAUCUUUUUAAUGAUGUACUAAAACAGGGAUCCUCUUUUACAUGGCGCAGUAUCAUGUCUGGUCUA
rnacentral:rRNA from 1 species